rnacentral:tRNA from 2 species
GGCUUUAUAGUCAAUAAUGAUGUUAGACUGCAAUUCUAAAGGUAUGAAUGCUUUCAUUAAAGCUU